rnacentral:lncRNA from 1 species
GUCCUCCGAAACGCAACCCAACCAAGCCGCACUGCUUCUUGACACAAUGCCCGCUUAACCUGGAAGCCAGCUGCACCAAUGUGUCGGAGGAAACACUGUGCACCUGACGACCGUGUUAACGUGCACUGCGCCCUAACUUGCACUGCGAACAUCCCUGCUGGCCAAACCCUCCACUAACCCGGACGACGCUGAGCCAAUUGUAUGCCGUCCCAUGGGUCUCCCGGUCGCAGCAGGCUGCGACAGAAACUGGACUCGAACCCAGGAUCUCUAGUGGCACAGCUACAGUAGCACUGCGAUGAUAUGAAGACAGUGCAACAGUUGACUCCGACACUUGAACUUGAGGUGCCGAGGCGGUCACUAAAGCCAAGGAGCAUGCUGGGAGAUUACAGUGUAUGUAAUCCAGAGAAUGAGGGUGCAUUCAUGUAGCGAGUUGGCUUGGCACACUUGUCGAAGUGUGAACAGUCCUAGCCCUUUCCUGCAGUCAAAUGACCUAGAGGCCUCAUGGGUGGAAUGUUAUUUAUAUUUUUCAUAAUUUCAUAAUGAAUAAACAUUUAUUCUUUCCGCUGACAAUCUGGUGUUUCUAUGUCAAACAAUUUCAGUCUUCUGUGAUGUAUAUAAAGUGAAAUAUUGGCAUGCAAACUCAAAAUUGAAUACAUUUCAACUAUCUGACAUGGUACAGGUAUCUUAUUUUAAUUAAGCCUGUAACCAUGUGUGGAAGGUGUAUACUUUUGUUUCAAAGUAGAUCUAUUUAAGACUACCAAUAAACACUCUGUGUGACCCUGAUUUCGCCCACUAAGUUAAUAUCCUAGUUCUUUUCCAAGGCACAACCUCCUUAUGGUAAACAUAUUCAAUCAUAAAUAUUAAAAUAUGUAUUGCAUUCAUACUCAUUAAAUGACACAUUUUCAACAAAUUUAGUUGGAUUUAAUUUUGCUUACAUCAACAUCGUGUAAUUAUUCAUUUGAAAGAUUGGAAGGAAAAUAUUAUUUAUAACAUAGGGGCUGUCACGUCCUGACCAGUAUUAGGGAUUAUUUGUAAUUGUAGUUUGGUCAGGACGUGGCAGAGGGUAUUUUGUUUAUGUGUUUCGGGGUGGUGGUUUAUUUAGUAGGGUGUUUGGUUAGUUAGUUCCGGGUUAUGUUCUGUGUUUGUAUAUCUAUGUCUAGUUAAUUGGGGUUGGACUCUCAAUUGGAGGCAGGUGUUUUCUAGUUGCCUCUGAUUGACAGUCCUAUAUAUGGGUAUGUGUUUGGUUUUGUGUUUUUGGGAGAUUGUUUCUUGUUUUGCUGUGUGUGCCUGACAAGACUGUCUAGUUCGUCUGUGUUUUUGUAUACGUGUUUAUUUUGGUUUUUUCCUUCUUUGUCUGUAAUAAAG